rnacentral:rRNA from 1 species
UACGUAGGGUGCAAGCGUUGUUCGGAUUCAUUGGGCGUAAAGGGCGCGUAGGCGGGCCAGCCAGUCUGUGGUGAAAGCCUCCAGCUUAACUGGAGAAGUGCCGUGGAUACUGCUGGCCUCGAGGAGGAUAGGGGCAUCUGGGACGGUCGGUGGAGCGGUGAAAUGCGUUGAUAUCGACCGGAACUCCGGUGGCGAAGGCGAGGUGCUGGGUCCUUUCUGACGCUGAUGCGCGAAAGCCAGGGGAGCAAACGGG